GCGCGUGCUUUAUGGCUUCCCUCGCAAGCUCCUCCUGAGACAUAUUUGAUUGAAUAUGACUGAAUCUUAGGCCAGUUUUGAAUUAGGGUUAGAAGAAGGCGAAAGAAAACAAUGUUCAGAAAAGGUCCGAGAAGCUAUUGCUUGGAUUUUGGAAAACAUAAGAACGGAAGUAUUUACGCUCGCUUACCGUGGAGAGUGCAAACAAUGGUCUAUGGAUCGAGGAAGGUGGUGUGGGUUGGGCCAGACUUCACUCGCUACUUCUUUUUCAUCUCUAAGCAAUGGUUGGAACCAAAUCCCAUAUUUGAAAUGCAAUUAGAUUAAUAA
rnacentral:misc_RNA from 1 species